rnacentral:lncRNA from 1 species
AAAAAAAAAUAAGAAAAAGCAUGAAGAUGAGCUCAAUGAAAAAGAAAAAGGAAAAAAGUUGGGAAUGAGUGAGAUUGGUGAGGAAGAGAGUUGUGCUUAAAUGUUGAAUACUAUGAUAGCUCUCUUGACUUAAGGAUUUUGAAUUCCAGAAAAACCAAUUCUUCUUAUUAGCCCAACCUCAUUACAAGCCUUGGAAAAGUCCUUUUGAUGGCAUUUACAUGCAAAGAUGUUGAUGGUUUGAGAUGAAUGGAAAUUUUAUUU